CAAAGACAUGGAUUUAGAUCUUUUGGAUUGGUGUCAUAGAAAUAAGUUUAGAAUUCUAGGUUUUAAAAAACAGAGAAUCUCUUUUUUGAGAGUAUAUAGUUUUAGUUGAAACCUUUUUGCUAAUUGUUUCUACUGGCCCUUAGGAUGGUAGGUUCUCAUUCUUAUUUCGUCUCUUUCAGGCACAUUAACUCAAAAAUUCUUUCGAAUUUCACCCCCAUCUUAACAUGGUUCUCAUUAUAUUCAUCCUUCAACAAUAUAAAGGAUUUUCGGAGUUGAUAGUUUUUUAACAUUUAACAUUGUAUUUUUUUGGUUCGUACAUAUACUUUCAGAACUCAGC
rnacentral:lncRNA from 1 species